AAAGCCGUCUGUCUGUUGACUAAGCCGGAAGACGAAAAAUUCUAAAAACAGAACAAGCAUGUAGUAUGUUGACAUUAGGUCAUCACAGGACGCGGGUUCAACUCCCGCCGGCUCCACCA
rnacentral:tmRNA from 1 species